rnacentral:lncRNA from 1 species
UGAUAAUUGGGUUUUAGGGUUUAUAUUUGGGUUUAGGGUUUAGUAAGUAAUGUUUAGGGUUUAUAUUUUGGUUUAGGGUUUAGUAAUUAAUGUUUAGGGUUUAGUAUUUAGAGGAAAGCGUGAGGUUUAGGGUUUAGUAUUUAGGAAUGAGAGUUUGGAGUAAAGUUUAGUAUUUACGAGUUGUGAGUGGGUUUGGAGUCAUAUACUAAUUUAAUGAUAUGGUAUAGAAAAUUCAGAAUGGAUUAAUGUUUAGUAU